rnacentral:rRNA from 1 species
UACGUAGGGGGCAAGCGUUGUCCGGAUUUAUUGGGCGUAAAGAGCGUGUAGGCGGCCAGACAGGUCAGCUGUGAAAACUCGAGGCUCAACCUCGAGACGUCGGUUGAAACCGUCUGGCUAGAGUCCGGAAGAGGAGAGUGGAAUUCCCGGUGUAGCGGUGAAAUGCGCAGAUAUCGGGAGGAACACCAGUGGCGAAGGCGACUUCCUGGCCUGUUCUGACGCUGAGGCGCGAAAGCUAGGGGAGCAAACGGG